AUUAAUAAGCGGAGGAAAAGAAAAUAACAAUGAUUCCCUUAGUAACGGCGAGCGAAAAGGGAAGAGCCCAGCGCCGAAUCUUGUGUCCCACGGGCACAAAGACAUGUGGCGUUUGGAACGUGGCAUUGCCUGUGUAAAAUGGUCGUCCAAGUCCCUCUUGAACGGGGCCAUAGCCCAAGGAGGGUGCUAGGCCCGUACGACGACUUUUGACGCAGUGCGCCUAGUUCGUAGAGUCGGGUUGCUUGGGAGUGCAGCCCAAAUCAGGUGGUAAACUCCAUCUAAGGCUAAAUAUAACCACGAGACCGAUAGCGAACAAGUACCGUGAGGGAAAGUUGAAAAGAACUUUGAAGAGAGAGUUAAAAAGUACGUGAAACCUCUCGGGGGUAAGCGGGCAGAACUUGCAAGUAUUGGUGGGAACAUUCAGGCUUAGUGUUGGCGGUAAGUGAUGCAAGUAAAGUUGCUCUCUCGGGAGUUGGCUGGCCUGUGUUGGUUGUUCUGCUGACAAUACGCCGCAUUUGUUCCCAUCAUCGGGUUGGAUGCGACUGAAUUUGGGGGUUUAGGUGCUGGGAUCCUGCAUGUCCUUGUGAYGUGAGUCCUGGUUUCCAACCACUGUUGCGGUCGUUGAAAUAUUCGAAGCAGGCGUUUAACGCGGUCAGUGGCUUUCACGAGAUGGGUGCUUGUUGUAUGUGGACGGAAAACCGUAGCAUGCGAUCUGUACCUGCUGUCGGUGAGAGUUCUCUGGCACUGCUUGAAAAUUCCAAUCUAAAGCAUGCGUGGU
rnacentral:rRNA from 1 species